UACGGAGGGUGCAAGCGUUAAUCGGAAUACUGGGCGUAAAGCGCACGCAGGUGGCUGAGUCAGUCGAUUGUGAAAGCCCUGGGCUUAAACCCUGGGGAAUUGCAGUCGAUACUACUCAGCUAGAGUAUGGGAGAGGGUAGUGGAAUUCCCGGUGUAGCGGUGAAAUUCGUAGAUAUCGGGAAGGAACACCAGUGGCGAAGGGCGCUGACCUGGACGAUGAUUGACGCUGAGCGCGAAAGCGUGGGGA
rnacentral:rRNA from 1 species